AUUGAACGCUGGCGGCAGGCCUAACACAUGCAAGUCGAGCGGUAGCACAGAGAGCUUGCUCUCGGGUGACGAGCGGCGGACGGGUGAGUAAUGUCUGGGAAACUGCCUGAUGGAGGGGGAUAACUACUGGAAACGGUAGCUAAUACCGCAUAACGUCGCAAGACCAAAGAGGGGGACCUUCGGGCCUCUUGCCAUCAGAUGUGCCCAGAUGGGAUUAGCUAGUAGGUGGGGUAACGGCUCACCUAGGCGACGAUCCCUAGCUGGUCUGAGAGGAUGACCAGCCACACUGGAACUGAGACACGGUCCAGACUCCUACGGGAGGCAGCAGUGGGGAAUAUUGCACAAUGGGGGCAAGCCUGAUGCAGCCAUGCCGCGAGUAUGAAGAAGGCCUUCGGGUUGUAAAGUACUUUCAGCGGGGAGGAAGGUGUUGAGGUUAAUAACCUCAGCAAUUGACGUUACCCGCAGAAGAAGCACCGGCUAACUCCGUGCCAGCAGCCGCCGUAA
rnacentral:rRNA from 1 species